rnacentral:rRNA from 1 species
AAGCGGCAACAGCUCAAAUUUGAAAUCUGGCCCCCAGGGCCCGAGUUGUAAUUUGCAGAGGGAUGCUUUUGGCGCGGUGCCUUCCGAGUUCCCUGGAACGGGACGCCAUAGAGGGUGAGAGCCCCGUCUGGUCGGACGCCUAGCCUGUGUAAAGCUCCUUCGACGAGUCGAGUAGUUUGGGAAUGCUGCUCUAAAUGGGAGGUAUAUGUCUUCUAAAGCUAAAUACCGGCCAGAGACCGAUAGCGCACAAGUAGAGUGAUCGAAAGAUGAAAAGCACUUUGAAAAGAGGGUUAAAUAGUACGUGAAAUUGUUGAAAGGGAAGCGCUUGUGACCAGACUUGGGCCCGGUGGAUCAUCCAGCGUUCUCGCUGGUGCACUCCGCCGGGUUCAGGCCAGCAUCAGUUCGCCGCGGGGGAAAAAGGCUUCGGGAACGUGGCUCCUACGGGAGUGUUAUAGCCCGUUGCAUAAUACCCUGGGGCGGACUGAGGUUCGCGCUCCGCAAGGAUGCUGGCCUAAUGGUCAUCAGC